rnacentral:rRNA from 1 species
UACGGGGGGGGCAAGCGUUGUUCGGAAUUACUGGGCGUAAAGGGCUCGUAGGCGGCCAACUAAGUCGGACGUGAAAUCCCCAGGCUCAACCUGGGAACUGCGUCUGAUACUGGAGGGCUUGAGUGCGGGAGAGGGAUGUGGAAUUCCAGGUGUAGCGGUGAAAUGCGUAGAUAUCUGGAGGAACACCGGUGGCGAAGGCGGCUCACUGGCCCGGUACUGACGCUGAGGUGCGAAAGCGUGGGGAGCAAACAGG